rnacentral:rRNA from 1 species
ACUGGGGGUUCAGGCAGGCAGAUUCAUUCUCUGCCACCGAAUACAUUAGCAUGGGAUAAUGGAAUAGGACCCUGUCCUCCUAUUUUGAGUGGGUUUUGGCACGCAAGGACCAGGGGGAUGAUGAAUUGGGAUAGUUGGGGGCAUUAAUAUUUAAUUGUCAGAGGUGAAUUUCUUGUAUUUAGGAAAAAUUUCCUUCAGCAAAACUUUCUGCCAAGGUUUUUUUUUUAUUCGAGAACGAAAUUUAGGGGAGCGAGAACGAUCCCAUACCGGCCUAAACUCAACCAUAAACGAUGCCGACCAGUAAUUAGGAAACGUUGAAAACAAAACACCACCAUCGGCGCUGUCGUCCUUGGCGUUCCUUUUUUGACGCGCGGGGGCGCGAGGCGGAUUUUUUGGAG